UACAGAGGUGGCAAGCGUUGUUCGGAAUUACUGGGCGUAAAGGGCGAGUAGGUGGCCAUCUAAGUCAGACGUGAAAGCCCUCGGCUUAACUGAGGAAGUGCACCCGAAACUGAGUAGCUAGAGUACGAAAGAGGGUCGCGGAAUUCCCGGUGUAGAGGUGAAAUUCGUAGAUAUCGGGAGGAACACCGGUGGCGAAGGCGGCGACCUGGGUCGAGACUGACGCUGAGGCGCGAAAGCGUGGGGAGCAAACAGG
rnacentral:rRNA from 1 species